GUUUGAUCCUGGCUCAGAGCGAACGUUAGCGGCAGGCUUAACACAUGCAAGUCGAGCGAGAAAGGGGCUUCGGCUCCGAGUAAAGCGGCGGACGGGUGCGUAACACGUGGAUAAUCUGCCUCGUGGCGGGGGACAACAGUCCGAAAGGACUGCUAAUACCGCAUGUCAGGUCGGAAACUCCGGUUUCUGACGAAAAAGAGGGCGUCCGCAAGGAGCUCUCACCACGAGAUGAGUCCGCGUCCCAUCAGCUAGUUGGCGGUGUAAUGGACCACCAAGGCUUAGACGGUAGCUGGUCUGAGAGGAUGACCAGCCACACUGGGACUGAGACACGGCCCAGACUCCUACGGGAGGCAGCAGUGGGGAAUAUUGGACAAUGGGCGAAAGCCUGAUCCAGCCAUGCCGCGUGAGUGAUGAAGGCCUCGGGUCGUAAACGCUCUGUGGGAGGGACG
rnacentral:rRNA from 1 species